AGAGAAAGUAAUAGAAACAUGAAACCAAGGUGCUACAUGUUGUGCCAUGAGAGGUCAAUUCCACUGUCUCUGACUUAGUUCAAUGUCUUCUGCUAGCUUCUAUAAAAUUAAGGUAAAAUGUCAGAACUUUCACAGUUCUUAAAAAUGGAAAUGAAAAAGAAAAGAGAGAAAAAGAAUGAUAUUUUGGACUAAUCAAUAUGUAUAGAACAAGAGAGAUUGGAGUGAAGGAAAGGAGAAUAAGAAGUAAUAGCCAGUCAUAUUGGAACCAAACCAGAAGAAUUUAUUUUACUGUUUUCCACGGAAUUCUAUUUUUAAAAUAUCUUGCAAAUGGGAGAUCAUCUUUGAUAUGAUGCCAAGUGUUUGAGUAAGUGGUUGGCCACUGGAUCCAAUAAAUUGUAGGAACUAAUUAAGGAACUUAACCAAUAAUCCAUUAUCAUUGACCAUAUCUUAUUCAUGUAUCUGUGAAAAACCUCAAUCUCUUUAAUAAGCAGUCACUGCUUAUGUCACACAAAUAAUACAAACAUUUAUGGACAUCUGGGAAAGUUAUUUUUAAAGCUUUUUUUUUUUUUGAAACAACUGUAGAUUCACAUGCAGUUGUAGGAAACGAUACAGAAAUAUCCUCUUAACCCUUCACUCAGUUUCCUCCAGUGAUAACAUUUUGCAUAACUACAGUACAAUACUCAACUAGAAAACUGAAGUUAAUUAAACCCAAUCAGAAAACCAUAAGUUUUAUAUUCAUUUGUGGGUACCAGUAUAUUCAGUCCUAUGCAAUUUCAUACUUAUAUGUUGAUACGAUCACUACAUUUAAGAACAGUUCCAGCACAAGGAUCCCUUGUGCUACCUUUUCAUAGUCAUAAACACCUUCUUCCUUUGUAAAAUAAGAAUUAGGCGAAUAAAACAGAGAAGUUGGGCAGGAAAAGAUGUACAAAAACUAUGAAGCUUGAGAAAAAGUGUUAAGCUUAAAGAGCAGCAACUUUUAUUCUAUACUGUGAAUUUAUUUUCCUUUGCUUUAUUAGAAAUAGACUUAUAAUAAUUUGUGUUGUUUUUUGGGUGAAAACAAUUUGUAUGAUGGAUGGCUAAAUGUCUAAAUAGCAGAUGGAUAGAUGGAUGGAUGGACUGAUGAAUGGAUUGAUAAAAUCCCUGGUUAUAAAUCAAGAUAUGGCAGAACUGAGAAUCAGAGUAUGAAUCAUCUGGAAGCAGCAUGCAUGGAAAACUCUAAAAAGGACUAACAUGAAGUGAAAACUGGUCAGAAUGAGACUAUGAAAAUAAUCUAGGUGAGUGAGACCUCAAAUACUUUCAUCCAUAUUAUCUCCAAGACAGUAAUGUCCUCUCUACUACACAGAAAUGAGUGAAUUGUAUAGAUAGAUUCUAACAAGUUAACAUACAAAACAAAAUAAAAUUGUGUGAUCUCUAGAGAUUUUUCAAACUGUUAACUUUCCCAAAGCAUUAGGAUAUAAUCUUUUAACAGAUUAAAGGAAAAAAAAAAAGAUAUUA